rnacentral:rRNA from 1 species
GAGUUUGAUCGUGGCUCAGAUUGAACGCUGGCGGCAGGCCUAACACAUGCAAGUCGAGCGGAUGAAGGGAGCUUGCUCCUGGAUUCAGCGGCGGACGGGUGAGUAAUGCCUAGGAAUCUGCCUGGUAGUGGGGAUAACGUCCGGAAACGGGCGCUAAUACCGCAUACGUCCUGAGGGAGAAAGUGGGGGAUCUUCGGACCUCACGCUAUCAGAUGAGCCUAGGUCGGAUUAGCUAGUUGGUGGGGUAAAGGCCUACCAAGGCGACGAUCCGUAACUGGUCUGAGAGGAUGAUCAGUCACACUGGAACUGAGACACGGUCCAGACUCCUACGGGAGGCAGCAGUGGGGAAUAUUGGACAAUGGGCGAAAGCCUGAUCCAGCCAUGCCGCGUGUGUGAGAAGGUCUUCGGAUUGUAAAGCACUUUAAGUUGGGAGGAAGGGCAGUAAGUUAAUACCUUGCUGUUUUGACGUUACCAACAGAAUAAGCACCGGCUAACUUCGUGCCAGCCG